GACAGAGGGUGCAAACGUUGUUCGGAAUUACUGGGCGUAAAGCGCGUGUAGGCGGCCCUGCAAGUCGGAUGUGAAAUCCCACGGCUCAACCGUGGAAGUGCAUUCGAAACUGCAGGGCUAGAGUCCUGGAGAGGAAGGUGGAAUGCUUGGUGUAGAGGUGAAAUUCGUAGAUAUCGUAAGGAAGACCAGUGGCGAAGGCGAGUCUCUGGACAGUUACUGACGCUGAGGCACGAAGGCCAGGGGAGCAAACGGG
rnacentral:rRNA from 1 species